UCUCUUUCACCGUUUAAUAUUUUAUGGUCAACAACUAUCCAUUGGACGCGAGAGAACAAAUAGAAGGCAACUAGCUAUGGGAAAUAACCCAGUAUGGAGGCAUAGUAUUGGCAUCAGAUAGUCUCCUUAAAUUCAGGAAAAUAACUCAAUGGGGAUCGUUCCCUAUUGAUAAUGGACUUCAGACUAACCCGCAGAUAUCGUAUGAAAAGAAAGAUUUCGUAUACUUUGACAUUGAAAGCCAUUAUUCUGUAUGUUUAUUUGAAAUGAUUAAAUGGCUAUGUUCCUCUCUAGGAAUGAACAUUGUCAAUUUACCAAGACAACUCAAGCUUAAGGCUCGGAUAUUUAACUCACUAUGGACUUUGAAUAGACGUGAUUCUGAGAGGAGGAACCAUGCUUCUUGUUGGCGGACGUUUGUCAGAGAAAAUGGUGACACAUACUAAUGCAUUGAAUUACACAGGCUUCUGUCAGAUUCCAAUUAUAAUUUAGUUUUCCACAGGCAUUAGACUGGCUUCCAAACCUAAGCUCCUGGUUGAAUCCAUUGCACCAUUCCCAGAGUCGGCGGCGAAGUUUGUCCCCAACAUCAAUGCCGUGCACCCUACAAAGAGAAAUGUGGGAGGCUUAACUUGACAUAAUCGAGAAGAGUAUCGGUCGGUAGAUAAAACAUUAAACUUGCGUACUAUAUAAAACUAGGGUUCCGUGCUGCACUUGACUGGACUUACAUGCCGACGUUCUAUAGACUAGGGAUAAGAGGUGUCCAAUAAUUGUGAGCAGCAGAAUCAAGUAGAUGGAAGCUUGAAGUAUUCAUGUCUUAGCUUUUGAGAUGCACGUUUGUCGAUGUGACAACUCAGAAAUGCCAGAAGUAGCACAGGUUUCUCAACAGAAAAGGGGCGAUCUAGGAAGUUUCUGAUGCAGCACACCCCAACCAUGUCUUGAUCAAGAAGGUGAUUUGAAUCAAAUUGGGGAAAUGACCAACAUAGAAGGUGUCAACGACGCCCUUGUUCCAGCUACACGCCGGUCACGCCACCAAAGCAAAUGUUUGGUAAUAGAAGGUUUCCUUCAUCAUUUACUUAUUAAGAUUUUGCUGUAGAGAGGCCUAUAAAUUGGCCUUCAGACCUUUGAUUCGGGGGAAUUGAAAAUGGAGUUUUGAGGAUUAGUUCCUUACCUUACCUGAUCGCAAGAUCCCGUCGCCCCGGCUAAGGUGGUCGGAGGACCCGCUACUCCCGGUCUGGAGAACCCUUCCCCAUCCCUUCUUUUCUUCUAUCGCCGCCAGCCACCACCGCCUGUACUGCCUGUACCGCCAUCACUUGCCAUUGUCGCCGUCAUCGCCUCCCCCUCCGCCGCCGCUGCCGUCCAUCGCCCUCUCCACCGCGGGCGGUCCCCUCCAGCAGCCAUCACCGUUCGUUGUCGUCCCCUCUUUGCUGCCCACCACCGCCGUCGCCGCUGUCGACCACCGCCUCACGGUCAUCAUACCGCUUCCCACUGCCGCCCUCACCUCUCUCAAUCUCGCCCCUCCCGUUUCCGGCUUCCCCG
rnacentral:lncRNA from 1 species